UAACACGUAGGUNAUCUGCCCAUCAGACGGGGACAACGAUUGGAAACGAUCGCUAAUACCGGAUAGGACGAAAGUUUAAAGAUGCUCCUGGCAUCACUGAUGGAUGAGCCUGCGGCGCAUUAGCUAGUUGGUGGGGUAAAGGCCUACCAAGGCGACGAUGCGUAGCCGACCUGAGAGGGUGAACGGCCACACUGGGACUGAGACACGGCCCAGACUCCUACGGGAGGCAGCAGUAGGGAAUCUUCGGCAAUGGGCGAAAGCCUGACCGAGCAACGCCGCGUGAAUGAAGAAGGCCUUCGGGUUGUAAAAUUCUGUUAUAAGGGAAGAAAGGUGAUAGGAGGAAAUGACUAUCAAUUGACGGUACCUUAUGAGAAAGCCACGGCUAACUACGUGCCAGCAGCCGCGGUAAUACGUAGGUGGCAAGCGUUAUCCGGAAUUAUUGGGCGUAAAGAGCGCGCAGGUGGUUAAUUAAGUCUGAUGUGAAAGCCCACGGCUUAACCGUGGAGGGUCAUUGGAAACUGGUUGACUUGAGUGCAGAAGAGGGAAGUGGAAUUCCAUGUGUAGCGGUGAAAUGCGUAGAGAUAUGGAGGAACACCAGUGGCGAAGGCGGCUUCCUGGUCUGCAACUGACACUGAGGCGCGAAAGCGUGGGGAGCAAACAGGAU
rnacentral:rRNA from 1 species